rnacentral:lncRNA from 1 species
GUUCAGGUUGGCAAUAGGACAGUACUCUUGAAUUGCUGUAGGCUACAGGGGGUCUGAGUUCCUCCUGAGAUCUAAGCAGGUAUAGGCUUUCCUAGCUACGCCACAAGCCCUGGACCAUUGGGAACUCAGGGUCCACCUUCCCCAGAGGACACCUCUGUCCAAGGCUCCUGCUCCAGCCUUUGCCAACACUCACUUCUGGCUCAGGUUUCCCUGAGAUCACUCAGGAGACCAGCCUCUGGGCAUGGCUAUGAGGGACUGACCAUAUUGGGUUAAUUGGAUUCAGUGAGACCAUCAGCUUCCACCUCUUGCCUCCAUGACUUUGGGGCCACAAUAGACUAUACAUUAGAACCUCCCAAAUAAAUCCUCCCCUCUUAAAAUGUGUCUGUUCGGUUUUUGUCACAUCGACAAGACAAAUGGCUGAGCUGCCCUGCUAUAAAGCACACUCUCACCUAGGCAGACCAGGUUUUAGAUUUCGAAUACUUGAAGAGCCCACACUGAUUUUCAUUCCUUAGACCUACAUGACAGGAUUGAGCCCUGCCCCUUUCAGUCCAAGCUUUCUAGAUGAUCUAGGGUCAACCCCUUGAUUUCUGCAGGGAAAAGCGACCCCGGAGAACCCCUGGGUUCCUUUGGCUCUGAUGUGAGGCAAAAAGUAGAGGGGGCGGAGGAGGGGGUAGACCCUGCUCACCUUUCCUGAGAGUUCACUGGAACUGAGGGCUUGGCUCAGCAACUGCUUUAUCUGCCUGAGAGUGAUCUGGGAGGGAGAUGUGCCCAUCCAUCUUGUUUCCCUGCAACACACAGAAAGCUUAAAGCGCGCGCACACACACACACAUAUACACAAAUGAGAUCUAUAAGCUUAAACUGGCUAAAAGAAUCAUGCCUUUACUUUUACAAGCCCCAACUGAAAUGAGCAUUUCCAUUCCAUAAACAAGAACAAGCCGCGGCAGCAUUAGCAGUUACCUGUGACUUGGUUACAAAGGAAUGCUCUGAUAAUUGUUUCUUCAUGUCACGCUGAUUGCCUGUGUCUCAAAAUACCUCGCUUGCCGGCAAUUAUUCAAAAUGACAGUUGCGAUUAGACCCACCACCUCAUCUGUUCAGAGAAACCCAUGUGGUAAAUUAGUUUUUUAAUAUGUUGAUAAGUAUCUUUCAAAAUAAUAGGUUUUCCUAUAGAGAAGUGCACAAGGUAGGGUGGGCUGGGGGAUGAGGGUGGCCACCCCUGGUUCAUGCGAGAAGAUAAUGGACGGGCUAUAGAACCAGAAAACAACGAGGUCCAUUGAAUGCCUGUUUGCGUUCUAUUCUUACUCAAGGCUGAGAAAGUAUUUAUUCUUUUCUACUGUGGUAGAUUAUUCCUCCGGUCCACAUUGCAGCCUCGAUCUUUCAUAACCCUACCUUUUGUUGUUUUGAGACAGGAUCUUAGUAUAGAGCCCUGGCUGACCUGAAAUUCUGUUCUGUAGACUGCUGACCUCACAUUUGUGGGGAUUCUCCCACCUCUGCCCCGCCCACUGCCUCGAUUACAAGUGAGGGCUACUUCACUCAGCUGUUAGUGUUGGGGGCAUUUAUAAGUAUCUCGUAAGAAGAUGCCAGGAGCCUUGGUGAGCUGCCCUCGGGAACCUGGCACAGAGAGGUUUUCCUGGGCUUCUCGAGCUGACCAUGCCUGGGUUCUGCCCAUCUAUACCCUCCCCUGCCUUGGUACCUUCUGGUAAACCAUCACUUCCUGAUGCCAGUCACAUCAACCAGGGCUAUUCUUCUCUGCCUUCUUGCUCCAGAUCUGGUUCCGUCUUCUGGUCUUGUUUUCCAGGGUCACCUGCUUGACUGUGGCCUAAGAAGCGUGAUGCUCCCUGAAGCUGCUUCCUGCCUGUCUCUCCUCCUUGACUAUCUCCGACUCCUCACAAGUACAGGCAGUUGUCAGUCGUCUGUCUGUGGUAACCCUGACAGCUUGAUAGUCACUAGCAGAGGUGGAGUAUCUUGUCUGCUGAGUUGCAGGCGUCCGAAUGUCCAUGCCAUGGCAGACAUGAUUGUUCAUAGGUGUAUAAUCAUUAAACUUGACACCUUUGCUAUUCCUUUGGACUUAAGACAGUAUCCCAGCUUCAAUAUGACAAACAUACAGUGAGUGGCCCAUGCAGUCUCUCAGCGUGAAAUAUAUAGAUUAAAUGACACCAAACAGCAGCCACCCCUUCCCUUUUCCUUCUCCUUCUUUCUAAAAGCCAAGAAAAAAUAGCUCUUUUUUUUUUUUCUUUUUUAGUGGUCCUUGUGGGAGACAGUAGCAGAACUCCUAACUCCCAGGACUUUAAACAGUAACCAGGCAGAGAGAAAUGGUGACUCAAUGGAAUUGUUCAACAGGACACUGGAGUCCUUUGUAUUUCAUGCCUGGUUCAAGGAAAUAGCAUUGCUCAGACAACCUUGCAUUAUGAAGAGCACAUUGGGAAACAGAGUGGAGUCUUAUCUGAGCUCUGGAAUGUCUGUAGAUUUUUGUUGUUGUUAAGUUCCAGUUUUAUUACAGUGGAAUGUCAGUGCAAUCUUGAGAUGUUACCAACUAACAAACAAAAAACAAAUAAUC